UAAGAUCGUUCGACGCUUGUUCGUUAUAUUGGUCGAGUGAAAAUUCGGUUGUGAAAGUUGCGUUUAUACACAUUUGAAUAUAUCUACGUAGGUACGCACCACACGAAAGUUGGGAAGGAGGGCUUCUCGCGUUCACCGCACGGUACGGGACUAAAGGGUUUUUCGAGGGGAGGGGACUCGGCUGUGUAUCAAACAACCAAUUUCCCAACUUGCUGUCAUACCUAUAUCGAUGACUGCAGUCGGGAAGGGGUCACGAGUUCCGGAAUGCUGUAGGACGGAAUCGGAAUGUAGAAGCAGCGGUCGCGAAGAAAGGAAGAGCGUAUGACUGGCUUUGGACCACACACCCCGUCCUGCUUCCAGGGUUAGGCAAAGAGACACGUACAACCCAUUCAACUGUAUUCGACGCGUUCAUCCGUCGUCGUAGUCGGCCGUUCCUGAUGUUCGGAACUACAGGACUGCGUUCACCUCGACACCGGUUUUCACUUUUCAUAAUAACCCUGUCGCGAGGGAGGGAUGAAAAGGACCGGAAAUAAUAAAAACUGUUGUUUCAUUGACAAUUCCGACGUCACCGCGUCAGAUUUCCAUGAUUUCGACGAAUGACAACACCUCACCCCUCAGAGGAGGUAAAAUUGACCGACAAUCACGUGUGAUGAAAUAAAGAAGAUUCGAAAAACUGUCAGCGUGUACAACGAAGACCGCGAUGAGUUCGGUACCUCAUACCUAUCCGUUGUCGAGGGGCGGGAGAAUAAAAAGUCUCGGCGAAGUGACUCCGCCAAGAAGUCGGAGGUGUGCAGAGCAUCGCGUACGUCGUCGGCCCUUAACCACCGAGUCACAGAGCGGCUUCAGGAACGCACACCGCUCACGUGUUUAUGAUUGUUUUUAAUGAGCUUGUGGCCCGGCACGUUCUGACUACAUUAGCAAGUCAGCUUCUGCCGCUCCUACGACGUCCCCGGAGGGCUAGUCUGCUAAAAGAAUUAGCAAAGUUCUGCACCAUCUCGAGUUGACCUCGGACACCUAGAAUUAGUGUCAUCACUGUUUAAAACUUUAUUUCAUUUUUAUUCGAAUGGUUAAUUCUUCUUAAGCCCAUUCUCAACCGGGGCUCUGACGAAUUAACCGCGUGUAAAAGGAAAGUUUUUACUAUCCAUUUUCAUCACAGAUUUUCUGUCCGUUCCUCGAGGCAAAUGUCGCCAAACUUAUUCCCAAGAUCGAAUUUCAAUACUCCCUCGUCAUCGUGUAAUUCUGAAACAGCGGAUAUACUAAUAAAA